UACGGGGGGAGCAAGCGUUGUUCGGAUUUACUGGGCGUAAAGGGCGCGUAGGCGGUCAGCACAAGUCAGUUGUGAAAUCUCCGGGCUUAACUCGGAAAGGUCAACUGAUACUGUGCGACUAGAGUGCAGAAGGGGCAACUGGAAUUCUCGGUGUAGCGGUGAAAUGCGUAGAUAUCGAGAGGAACACCUGCGGCGAAGGCGGGUUGCUGGGCUGACACUGACGCUGAGGCACGAAGGUCAGGGGAGCAAACGGG
rnacentral:rRNA from 1 species